UCCUCUCAUCGACACUGAAGACCGCCAUGGCCAGACCUCAACACCGGCCACGACCAGGACCAAACCUCCUUCCUCUCCCCUUGGCUUCAUUGUUCUUUGGAUUUGGAGCUCAAGUUUCGGCUUUCUGAGUAUUGGACUUCCUCAUCUUCUCAAUCUCACCCGCAGGAACAAAGGCUUCAUUUUGGAAGGGAAAGGAAUAUACAAAGUUAGGGUUUCGCAUUUCUGGAGUAACAAAACCCAUUGUUCGCUCCUUUCGCUCCAACAGUUCUGGAUUACCAAAACCCAUCGCAUUUCUGGAUUACCCUCCAACGGUUCUCGUAUCAGCCCCAUUGUUCGCAACUCUGUCGUGACUCCGCGAUACAAUUGGUCCUUAUGGAAUCUCCUCAAAGAGAGAUGAUGUUGUAUGAACACUGAUGGCUCUAUGAGGCAAAAUGGAUUGGUAAACAAACCAAAAUGGGAAUGUCAUGUUUGAUAUUGUCGGGUGUAUGGUCCAAAUCAAGUUGGUUCCCUAGAGCUUGAAGUGAUUUGCGAAGGCCAUAUUGAGAUUCUUAAGCAAACUAAGAUAAAAAACUGUUAUGAUGGCUCUGCCUAAUAUCCAAAUAAUGAGUUGUCCUGCUAUAAAUAUAGAAAAGUUGUUCCUCUCUAUAGAGAACCGUAUCUUUAGGCUAAAGAAAUAUAUUAGAGAUGUGAUUCCUAUGCUUGGGAACAAAUCCUUAGGGCCUUUCUUUUUGCCUUUUUCAACUCUUUUUGCUACUAAACCCUAUAGGCAUUAGGUGAUUCUACAAUAAUGGAGGAGAGUUAUUGUUUUUACCUGACUGAUGAAUCCCAACAAAUUAUUAUAGCUACAGAUUGGAAUGGCAAA